AACGAACGCUGGCGGCAUGCUUAACACAUGCAAGUUGAACGCAGAAUAGAACUUCGGUUCUAUUGCUGAGUAGCAGACGGGUGAGUAACGCGUGGGAAUCUACCUUCUUGUGAGGAAUAACUGAGGGAAACUUCAGCUAAUACCGCAUAGGCUCGACGGAGGAAAGGCUUCGGCCGCAGGAAGAGGAGCCCGAGACCGAUCAGGUAGUUGGUGGGGGAAAGGGCUACCAAGCCAAUGAUCUGUAGCUGGUCUGAGAGGAUGAACAGCGACUCUGGGACUGAGACACGGCCCAGACUCCUACGGGAGGCAGCAGUGGGGAAUAUUGGACAAUGGGGGAAACCCUGAUCCAGCAAUGCCGCGUGAAUGAAGAAGGCCUUAGGGUUGUAAAGUUCUUUCACCUGUGAAGAUAAUGACGGUAGCAGGAGAAGAAGCCCCGGCUAACUCCGUGCCAGCAGCCGCCGUAA
rnacentral:rRNA from 1 species